AUCCAGAGAACUUAGCAGAGAUGCUUUGGUGCCUUCGGGAACUCUGAGACAGGUGCUGCAUGGCUGUCGUCAGCUCGUGUUGUGAAAUGUUGGGUUAAGUCCCGCAACGAGCGCAACCCUUAUCCUUUGUUGCCAGCGGUUCGGCCGGGAACUCAAAGGAGACUGCCGGUGAUAAACCGGAGGAAGGUGGGGAUGACGUCAAGUCAUCAUGGCCCUUACGGCCAGGGCUACACACGUGCUACAAUGGCGCAUACAAAGAGAAGCGACCUCGCGAGAGCAAGCGGACCUCAUAAAGUGCGUCGUAGUCCGGAUUGGAGUCUGCAACUCGACUCCAUGAAGUCGGAAUCGCUAGUAAUCGUAGAUCAGAAUGCUACGGUGAAUACGUUCCCGGGCCUUGUACACACCGCCCGUCACACCAUGGGAGUGGGUUGCAAAAGAAGUAGGUAGCUUAACCUUCGGGAGGGCGCUUACCACUUUGUGAUUCAUGACUGGGGUGAAGUCGUAACAAGGUAAGCGUAGCGAG
rnacentral:rRNA from 1 species